rnacentral:rRNA from 1 species
AGUGAACGCUGGCGGUAGACCUAACACAUGCAAGUCGAACGGCAGCACAGUAAGAGCUUGCUCUUACGGGUGGCGAGUGGCGGACGGGUGAGGAAUACAUCGGAAUCUACUUUUUCGUGGGGGAUAACGUAGGGAAACUUACGCUAAUACCGCAUACGACCUACGGGUGAAAGCAGGGGAUCUUCGGACCUUGCGCGAUUGCAUGAGCCGAUGUCGGAUUAGCUAGUUGGCGGGGUAAAGGCCCACCAAGGCGACGAUCCGUAGCUGGUCUGAGAGGAUGAUCAGCCACACUGGAACUGAGACACGGUCCAGACUCCUACGGGAGGCAGCAGUGGGGAAUAUUGGACAAUGGGCGCAAGCCUGAUCCAGCCAUACCGCGUGGGUGAAGAAGGCCUUCGGGUUGUAAAGCCCUUUUGUUGGGAAAGAAAAGCAGCAGGUUAAUACCCCGCUGUUCUGACGGUACCCAAAGAAUAAGCACCGGCUAACUUCGUG